rnacentral:rRNA from 1 species
GACGAACGCUGGCGGCGUGCUUAACACAUGCAAGUCGAACGAAGAGCGAUGGAAGCUUGCUUCUAUCAAUCUUAGUGGCGAACGGGUGAGUAACGCGUAAUCAACCUGCCCUUCAGAGGGGGACAACAGUUGGAAACGACUGCUAAUACCGCAUACGAUCUAACCUCGGCAUCGAGGAUAGAUGAAAGGUGGCCUCUACAUGUAAGCUAUCACUGAAGGAGGGGAUUGCGUCUGAUUAGCUAGUUGGAGGGGUAACGGCCCACCAAGGCGAUGAUCAGUAGGCGGUCUGAGAGGAUGAACGGCCACAUUGGGACUGAGACACGGCCCAGACUCCUACGGGAGGCAGCAGUGGGGAAUCUUCCGCAAUAGACGGAAGUCUGACGGAGCAACGCCGCGUGAGUGAUGACGGCCUUCGGGUUGUAAAGCUCUGUUAAUCGGGACGAAAGGCCUUCUUGCGAAUAGUUAGAAGGAUUGACGGUACCGGAAUAGAAAGCCACGGCUAACUACGUG